AAAAAGACGACCAGCCUCGCUAGAAAUCACCAAACCCAAAACCAUCCAACAAACCAAAACCUUGUAACCCCUGUGUAUUAUGCGUGGAAGCCGUCGAAAAUUGCACCGUGGUGGAAGCAUUUGGGCCAUUGUAGGACCGAUUGGAUAGAUAGAAACACCGCUGCGCCAUAUGACCAAAUCUAUUGCAGAUUUGACACUACAAUCGUGACCAAAAACCACACCCUUGCGACCCCAUUGUAGCACGUCCUCCACGCACAUCGCUUGAAACCGAAUCAACUAUUGCAGCAACCACAGGCGGUUCAACUAGAUGAGCAUGCAUGGGAACCUCACGCGCCACCCGCAUCUGUCGAUUUUCGACCUCCAUGAGAACAUCGACUAAACGACGAAAGGGAAGAGGCUCCGUCGAGAAAAAGGCCAAGGUCAAUACUGCAUCAAAAUCCGACGAGAGUCUAGCCAAAAUGACUUCCAGCUUUUUGGAUUCUGACACCGCCGAUCCAGAGGCUGCAAGUAAAGCACAUAUAUUUUCUAUUUUUGCAAUAUACUCUUUCACAGUUAACA
rnacentral:lncRNA from 1 species